AGAGUUUGAUCCUGGCUCAGGGUAAACGCUGGCGGCGUGCCUAAUACAUGCAAGUCGAACGGAGUUGGCGGAUCGCAAGAGAAGCCAGCUUAGUGGCGGACGGCUGAGUAACGCGUAGGUGACCUACCCCGAAGUGGGGGAUAAUCCUCCGAAAGGGGGACUAAUACCGCAUGUGGUCGUGCGCAUGGACGUGCACGAUUGAAGCCGCAAGGCGCUUUGGGAGGGGCCUGCGUCCGAUUAGCUAGUUGGUGGGGUAACGGCCUACCAAGGCGACGAUCGGUAGCUGGUCUGAGAGGAUGAUCAGCCAGACUGGGACUGAGACACGGCCCAGACUCCUACGGGAGGCAGCAGUAAGGAAUUUUCCGCAAUGGGCGAAAGCCUGACGGAGCAACGCCGCGUGGGCGAAGAAGGCCUUCGGGUUGUAAAGCCCUUUUCGGUGGAAAGACUCAGACGGUACCACCGGAAUAAGCCACGGCUAACUACGUGCCAGCAGCCGCGGUAAUACGUAGGUGGCCAGCGUUGCCCGGAUUUACUGGGCGUAAAGAGCGCGUAGGUGGUGCCUUAAGUUGGGCGUGAAAGCCCCUGGCUUAACUGGGGAGGGUCGUCCAAUACUGGGGUGCUUGAGGGCAGGGGAAGGAAGCGGAAUUCCCGGUGUAGUGGUGAAAUGCGUAGAUAUCGGGAAGAACACCAGUGGCGAAGGCGGCUUCCUAAACUGCUCCUGACGCUGAGGCGCAAAAGCUAGGGGAGCGAACGGGAUUAGAUACCCCGGUAGUC
rnacentral:rRNA from 1 species